UACGAAGGGGGCUAGCGUUGCUCGGAAUUAUUGGGCGUAAAGCGCGCGUAGGUGGUCGCUUAAGUUGGAUGUGAAAGCCCUCGGCUCAACCGAGGAAGUGCAUCCAAGACUGAGCAGCUAGAGUAUGGGCAGAGGGUCGCGGAAUUCCCGGUGUAGAGGUGAAAUUCGUAGAUAUCGGGGAGGAACACCAGUGGCGAAGGCGGCGACCUGGGCCGAGACUGACGCUGAGGCGCGAAAGCGUGGGGAGCAAACAGG
rnacentral:rRNA from 1 species